ensembl:lncRNA
GAAUCUGCACCACAGACACACUGAGAUGAGUUAGAAAGAAGUGUGAGAGACCCCAGCGUGUGCUCUGUGCUGUAGCAGAGAGCCAGCUGCCUGUACGGCAGAGCAGGAUCACCAGCCAGGAAACCUGGCACAGCAUGGGCACAGAGCCUUGUCACCAUGUAUUGAUGGACAUCAUGGCACUGCCACCUCUGAAAUGUCUUCCUUCACCUCCUCCAUGUCUUUGGGAGUUCUGCAUGAUAACCUUCGAGGUGUCAAGGUGGGAGGGUCAGACAUCCAGCUCUCUUACCAACCAGUGGGACACACUGACGGAGAAGGAGGAAAGGAGCCCCAACAGAGUAAAAGUUAAACCUGGACCAACACAGAGUCCCUCAGCAACCCCUCUUCUCUAGAGUGCAGGGGAUACUGGGUACUGCUACAUCUGCUUUCACUUACUUCAAGUCUAUCCCUCUUUCCCAGCAAAAGCUCAGGGUUACUUCUGGAUUCCAGAGCAGGCUCCAGGCUCUGACUCCAAGGCUGUAGAUGUCAUACCCUUGGUUAAAUAUUGAGAGUGUGAGGCAGGGCUAGUGGAGAUUGAGGGGAGAGAAGUCUUGUUCCUGAGAGAAACAUCAAGAAUCUAUCAAUAAUUGAAUGGUUUAAGGGCCUUUUAGCUCCUUCAGUAUACCUCUAAUCCUGGAGUAGGGGUAGACAAAGGGUGAGAAAGAAGGCCUUCAGAAAGCCUGACACCUCUUGUCUUUCUCCAUGGAAUGCUCUUCUAUUGCUCUGUUUCCCUAAAUAAGAGCCAUCUAAUAAAUCCCCUCA